CCCAAGUGGAAUGAACACAUCAGGUGUUACAUGACUCAGAUUCUGUUUUAAGUUAGACUCAAUCCACAUUACAGACUUGGAGGGUCAGAAUAAUAAUGUGAAUCAGCAUGUGUUGUAAGAUGCAUGACAUUUCUGCAUCUGUCAGCAAUGACAAAUGUUCUUUCUCUUUCUCAGACUCAACUAGAUAAGUGGAUGUUUGCUUCAUUCUUAUUUUGAACAACUGACUCUAUCAAGAAACCACACCAUUUAUUUAUGCCCAGAUUAGGCAGUACAGUAUCUGACGGAAAGGACUUUGGUAAUUCAAUUUCAUAUCUAACACGCCUCACACUGUGACACAGCAGGAGAGCCCAGAGCGGCAGCUGUUGGAAUGAAUGCCCUCUUCCUGCUGAAGUCUGACAUUUCCAAGACUAAAGUGGGGAGUCCUGUUUUUUUCCGAAACAUAGCAGCAGCAGAGAUGUGGCUAUUGCGAUCAGAAUUACUUGGCUAGGUGAGUUUUGGGUUUGAUUUACUUUUUCAUAUUUGUCUUUCUGCAUGUAUAACAUAUUUUCCUAGGGAGAAAGAUAUGCUGAAGUUAAACUUCACGAGUUAACUACCUAAAAUUACAGCUGUUAGCAAUUUUUAAUAAAACGCUAUCCACUGCACUAUAAAAACGGAUUCUAUUUUCAUAAUGUUUGUGUCAUUCCACUGAACAGUGCAGUUAGAAAUCCCAGAAGCAAAUGCAGUACAAAUUGGAGAGCAGCUGUGUAGAGGUGACUUCUAAUCAUAAUGGAACACAAACAAGAAUAAAUAAAUCAAGGACGAAACUUC
rnacentral:lncRNA from 1 species